CGUAAGGUUAUCUUUCAGAUUUUAGAUAUAAUGUUUUGACCAUUCGUCUUAUUUAAAAUUUUUUUGUUAUUAAUAUUUUUAUUUUUAAUAGAUGAUAAAAUAUGAAUAAUAUUUUAUGUGUUACUAAUUUUUUAAGUUUUUAUAUAAAUUUUUUAAAUAAGACGAAUGAUUAAAAUAAAUGGCACAGAAAUCAAAAAAUGAUAUUAUU
rnacentral:pre_miRNA from 1 species